rnacentral:rRNA from 1 species
ACGGGUGAGUAACGCGUGGGUAACCUGCCUUAUACAGGGGGAUAACAGCUGGAAACGGCUGCUAAUACCGCAUAAGCGCACAGCAUCGCAUGAUGCAGUGUGAAAAUAUUUAUAGGUAUAAGAUGGACCCGCGUCUGAUUAGCUAGUUGGUGAGGUAACGGCUCACCAAGGCGACGAUCAGUAGCCGGCUUGAGAGAGUGAACGGCCACAUUGGGACUGAGACACGGCCCAAACUCCUACGGGAGGCAGCAGUGGGGAAUAUUGCACAAUGGGGGAAACCCUGAUGCAGCGACGCCGCGUGAGUGAAGAAGUAUUUCGGUAUGUAAAGCUCUAUCAGCAGGGACGAUAAUGACGGUACCUGACUAAGAAGCCCCGGCUAACUACGUGCCAGCAGCCGCGGUAAUACGUAGGGGGCAAGCGUUAUCCGGAUUUACUGGGUGUAAAGGGAGCGUAGGUGGUUCGAUAAGUCAGAUGUGAAAGCCCGGGGCUCAACCCCGGGACUGCAUUUGAAACUAUCGAACUAGAGUGCAGGAGAGGUAAGUGGAAUUCCUAGU